rnacentral:rRNA from 1 species
UACAGAGGGUGCGAGCGUUAAUCGGAAUUACUGGGCGUAAAGGGUGCGUAGGUGGUUAUGUAAGUUAGGUGUGAAAUUCCUGGGCUUAACCUGGGGACUGCGUCUGAUACUGCAAAGCUAGAGUACUGUAGAGGGAAGUGGAAUUUCCGGUGUAGCAGUGAAAUGCGUAGAUAUCGGAAGGAACAUCAGUGGCGAAGGCGACUUCCUGGACAGAUACUGACACUGAGGCACGAAAGCGUGGGGAGCAAACAGG